rnacentral:rRNA from 1 species
UACGGAGGGUGCAAGCGUUAUCCGGAUUCACUGGGUUUAAAGGGUGCGUAGGUGGCUUUGUAAGUCAGUGGUGAAAUGCCGCAGCUCAACUGCGGAACUGCCAUUGAUACUGCUUAGCUUGAAUCACGUCGAGGUGGGUGGAAUAUUACAUGUAGCGGUGAAAUGCUUAGAUAUGUAAUAGAACACCGAUUGCGAAGGCAGUUCACUAGGCGUGUAUUGACACUGAGGCACGAAAGCGUGGGGAUCAAACAGG